AGCUUUGCGCAGUGGCAGUAUCAUAGCCAAUGAGGUUUGUCCGAGGCGCGUUUAUUGCUAUUUUGCUACUGAUUCUUUGCACCUUAUUUAUAUAU
rnacentral:snRNA from 1 species